rnacentral:lncRNA from 1 species
UUACAGAAAUUUCACAUGUAUCUCUCCAGUUCACAGGAAGUGUCAUUCUCCUUAAUCACUUUGCUCUUAUCCUUGAUGUUUUUCCAAACAUUUUUGCUGAUGUUGAGUGUUUUCCAUUUCUCUGAGCUGUGUUGUCAGUCCAUCUCCUGAUGAAGCAAGGGCAGUUUGAAUGCUGAAUGGAGGUGGAUGAGGAAGGGGAACACUACGUGAAAAUAUUUGUUUUACACAGAUGAAAUGUUGGAUCAGAACGCACGGAACUACAUCCAGCUUGGUGCAGGGACCUGCGUUUGGAAGCCGCUGCUUCAGAGUGUUCCAGAGAACGGCAGCCUCACGCAAGCAUGAAGCGUUUAACUGUGCAACACAAAUCAACAACCUGGGCUCCUAGAAUUCAGGGUGAGGUUUCACAGAGUGUCAGAGUUGAAAAGGAUCUUGGGGCUCACUGAUGAAGCAUUAGCGACGAGGAGCCUGAGGCCAGAGGGAACGUGCCACGGACAGCCUGAGCUACAGUGCAGGUCUCCUCCCUCCUCCGCAGCACUGCUGACCACGGCUUUCCGUGGUUAUAAUACUGUCACUUCCCCGCUAGCCCAAGGAUCUGAAAAUACUUUUGGGAGGCCGCGAGGAACACAAGGGGAGCAGAUAAUGACAUGGUCCACAACACACUUAAGGAGUUGGCAGAGUUUGGGAUCAGGGGAUUCUGCGCGUGUGUGGAUAAUCAGCAUUCAGGAGAAGGUGUAGUGCACGUCUGCUGGAGUUUGCUGUCGGUCCACUCCAGACCCUGUUUGCCUGGAUAUCACCAGCAGAAGCUACAGAACAGCCAAGAUUGCUGCCCUUUCCUUCCUCUGGAAGCUUUGUCUCACAUGGGCACCCACCAGAUGCCAGCCAGAGCUCUCCCAUAUGAGGUGUCUGUCAACCCCUUCUGGGAGGUGUCUCCCCAUCAGGAGGCACAGGGGUCAGGUACCCACUUGAGGAGGCAAUCUGUCCCUUAGCAGAGCUCAAGUGCUGUGCUUGGAGAUCCACUUCUCUCCUCAGAGCCAGCAGUCAGGAAUGUUUAAGUCUGCUGAAGCUGUGCCCACAGCCAACCUUCCCCCAGGUGCUCUGUUCCAGGGAGAUGAGAGUUUUAUCUAUAAGCCCCUGACAGGGGCUGCUGCCUUUCUUUCAGAGAUGUCCUGCCCAGAGAAGAAGAAUCUAGAGAAGCAGUCUGGCUACAGCGGCUUUGUGGAGCUGCAGUGGGCUCUGCCCAGUUUGAAAUUUCAGGCCGCUUUCUUUAUACUGUGAGGGGAAAACCGUCUACUCAAGCCUCAGUAAUGGUGGAUGCCCUUCUCUGCACCAAGCUCGAGCAUCCCAGGAUGACUUCCGACUGCUGUGCUGGCAGCGAGAAUUUCAAGCCAGUGGAUCUUAGCUUGCUGGGCUCCAUGGAGAUGGGAUCCACUGAGCUAGACCACUUGGCUCCCUGGCAUCAGCCCCAUUUCCAGGCAAGUGAAUGGUUCUCUCUCCCUGGCAUUCCAGGUGCCACUGGGUUAUGAACAAAAACUCCUGCAGCUAGCUUGGUGUCUGCCCAAACAGCCGCCCAGUUUUGUGCUUGAAACCCAGGGCCCUGGUGGCGUAGGCACCUGAGGGAAUCUCCUGGUCUAUGGGUUGUGAAGACCAUGGUAAAAAGGUAGUAUCUCGGCUGGAAAGCACCGCUUCUCAUGGCACAGUCCCUCAUGGCUUCCCUUGGCUAGGGGAGGGAGUUCCCCAACCCCUUGCACUUCCCGGGUGAGGUGAUGCCCCACCCUGCUUCAGCUUGCCCUCUGUGCACCCUCUGUCUAACCAGUCUCAAUGACAUGAGCUGGGUACCUCAGUUAGAAAUGCAGAAAUCACCUACCUUCUGCAAUGAUUUUGAUGGGAGGUGCAGACGAGCUGUUCCUAUUCAGUCAUCUUGCCAGCCACACAUGCCCAUCUUCAUUCCAUUAUUUCAUUUACUCUAAACAUACUUUCAGGCAGUUCUUAAAAUUUACUCCAUUUUAACUAUAAUGAAUCCAUGUAUGAAUGCAUUUGUCUUUUUCUGGCUCUUUCAUAGUGCUUCUUGAAUUGGAUGAUUCUUGUCUUUUUUAAAUUCUGGAAAAUUCUCACACAUUCUAUGUUUAGUUUGACCUCCUUAUUCUUCACAGUCUGUUAUUAUGGAAGUACUAUGCUUAACACGUUGCGUCUCUCUGUUUUCUUCGAUGUUACCAACAAGAUGUCUUAAACUAUCACCACCUGCCCCUACAAAUGUACACAGGUUAGGAUGUUUCAUUUAUCGUUUUCUGCUUGUGAUACAACUUGGCUGUAACAGAAGUUCUUUCAGUGUUGAGGCUCAGAAACUCUCAAAGUUGAUAUUUAGUCCCUGACUAUAAUAAGAUGUGGGAAGAGGGGACAUUUCAAACUCUCCAUGUUGGUCCCUUGCCCCACUCAUUGAGGAAAGUGAAGUCUAUUUUGCAAAAUUAAGGCUGAGUCAGUGAAAGAGAUCUAACAUAACUGCCUCCGUCUUGCUUCUAAAACCCAAACUGUCCUUGUUCAUUCCUGGGCAUAGGCUGAGCUAACUUUGGGAGAAACUUAUUUAUAGUUUAUAGUUUAAAACUAAGAUGAUGAGGUGGGGGGCAGCCCCCGCCCGGCCAGCCCCCCCGUCCGGGAGGUGGGGGGCAGCCCCCGACAGGCCAGCCGCUCCGUCCGGGAGGUGGGGGGCAGCCCCCACCCGGCCAGCCACCCCCUGCGGGAGGUGGGGGGCAGCCCCCGCCCGGCCGCUGCCCUGUCCCGGAGGUGGGGGGCGCCUCUGCCUGGCUGCCCCAUCUGGGAAGUGGGGAGCCCCUCUGCCCGGCCGCCACCCAAUCUGGGAGGUGUACCCAGCAGCUCAUUGAGAAUGGGCCAUGAUGACGAUGGCAGUUUUGUCGAGUAGAAAGGGGGGAAAUGUGGGGAGAAGACAGAGAGAUCGGAUUCUUGUUGUGUCUGUGUGGAAAGAGGUGGAAAUGGGAGACUCCAUUUUGUUCUGUACUAAGAAAAAUUCUUCUGCCUUGGGAUGCUGUUAAUCUAUAACCUUACCCCCAACCCCGUGCCCUCUGAAACAUGUGCUGUGUCCACUAAGGGUUAAAUGGAUUAAGGGCGGUACAAGAUGUGCUUUGUUAAACAGAUGCUUGAAGGCAGCAUACUCCUUAAGAGUCGUCACUACUCCCUAAUCUCAAGUACCCAGGGACGCAAACACUGCGGAAGGCGGCAGGGCCCUCUGCCUAGGAAAACCAGAGACCUUUGUUCACAUGUUUAUCUGCUGACCUUCCCUCCACUAUUGUCCUAUGACCCUGCCAAAUCCCUCUCUCCGAGAAACACCCAAGAAUGAUCAAUAAAUACUAAAAAAAUUAAAAAACAAAAACAAAAAAAACUAAGAUGAUAACAGCCCUUUCCCAAAGCAGGCCUCCUUCUUGCCUGGGGACUAGAUUGCCUCUGUAGGACUAACAUUAGCUACAAGAUUAGAAAUUAUGGCUAAAGGGCAUUGCAGCUUGAGACUACAAGAUUCUUACCCUCCCUAAACUGCUCCUAAGAUCAGUGCUUGAGAUAUUUUGCAGACUCUGCAAAUUUUAGUGCCUUAAUCAAUUAAACUCCAAUUAUAUAUUUAAAAUAUUGAUUAUUUUGAAUGUGUUUUAAAUGCUUAUGUAACAGCAAAAUAUCACAUAUAGAGUGAUUACAAGCUAGUUGUCAUAUUUACCUUUAUGUCUAUUCUAAAAUAAUAAUAAUAAUGCAAGGUAAAAUCAUUUCAUUGUUAUUCUAUACUAGUUUUUAUAUCUAACUAGAUAUAUAAUUUGAUAUAUUCUUAAGGUUGUAUAAUACAUAUUUUAUCACAUUUUCCAGUUUACAACAAUCUUAGAGAAAAUAAAGAGAAAGAAAAAAAUUUGAAAGGCAUAAUGGAAAAUAUCAGAAUAUUUUAUGUUAAAAUCAACAAUACAGCACACAUAACUUGAUGGAACCAUUUGAGAUCCUGAAAAUAAAAAUACCUUUAAAGUACUUCAAAAAAGAAAAUAUGCUUAUAAACUUUAAAUAGAAAAACUAUAUUAUAAAAAACAGCAGAGAAUAUUUCUGCAAGAUAUUAAAUUAAUUAUAUAAAUACUACAUUUUUAAAAGAGUUCUGUAAUUGGCCCAUGAGAAGAGAGUUCAAUGGGGCAGAGUUUGGAAAUGCAAAUCCUUAGGGGAAUUUGGUUUAUGACAAAAAUAACAUCUCGGAUAUCUGAAGAAAGAUGGAUUACUUAAUAAAUAAAAAAACAACUAGGUAUUUUUUGAAAAAAUAAUGUCAGAUUUUAAUCUCAAUUAUUAUAUAAGAAAUCAUUUUGCAUGGGUUAGUUUCAAAAUUUAAAAUAAAUGAAAGAGUCAUUGUUAUAAUCUUGAAAUGUGGUCUGGAAAACUCUUACUAAGAAAACGUAGGACUUGGACACUGUGAAAAGAAGAAACUGUUGAAUUGUACAACAUAAAAAUAAGUCACUAAAUUGAAUUUCAAACUGGUCAAGAAUGUAUAGAAAAGGUAUAACAGAUCAAACACUAAUUCAUUAUAUUCAAAUUUUGGUUCAUUAAAAUUAAAAAUGUCUGCUCUGCAAAAGCUUUUGUUAAGAGAAAAAAAAGACAAGCCACAGACUAAAAAAAAAUUGCAAAAGAUAGCUGAUGAAGGAUUCUAUGCAGAAUAUACAAAUUAACAGUGUAAAAACAAACCGCACAAUUAAAAAUAGACAAAAUAUCUGAACAGAUACUUUAUUAAAGAAGAUAGAUGACAAAUAAAGAUGUUAAAAUGCUCAAAAUCAUAUAUCAUUUAGGAAUUGCAAAUUCAAACAAUGAGAUACUACCCUAAACCUAUUAUAAGUAUGGCUGAAAUCAAAAAUACAAACAAGGACGUGAAGAACAGGAACUCUCAUUCAUUGCUGGUGGGAGUGCAAAAUGGUAUAGGAACUUUGGAAGACAGUUUGACAUUCUUGCAAAGCUGAAUAUAAGCUUACUAUAUAAUCUAGAAAUUGUGCUUCUAAGUAUAACCCAAAUUAGUUGAAAACUUGAUACAAAUGCUUAAAGAGUCUUUUCUAAUACUUGUUAAAAUUGGAAGCAGUCAAGAUGUGCUUCAGUAAGUGAAUGAAUAAACAAACUAUGAUAAGUCCAUACAAUGAACUAUUACUCAGUGAUAGAAAGAAAUGAGUUAUGAAGCCAUUAAAAGACAUGUAGGAAGAUUAAAUACAUAUUACUAAGUGAAAUAAGUCAGUUUGAAAAGGGCACAGACUGUAUGAAUCCAACCGUAUGAAAUUCUGAGUCAGACCUAUAGAGACAGUAAAAAGAGCAGUAAUUGGCCAGGCUUCAGGGGAAGGGAGGGAUGAACAGGUGAAGCACAGGACAUUUUUAUGAUGGUGAAAUUAUAUCCUAUGAUACUAUAACAGUGGAUACAUAGCAUAAUACAUUUAUAUAAUGAAUUUGAGAAUUUCAGAGGCUUAUCAAGGAAAAAGAUAAGCCCACAGGUGGCAGUAGCACACAAAGCUUCUACUUGGACGCUACUUGGACAGGGUUGCAAAAAGAACAGUCCUCACAGCAUAAGGCCUUAUAGAAGCACAGGGGACCACCAUCCAGAACGCAGGAGGACAAAGGAGCUCCCAAGGAUGGGAAGGGAGAUGCUGCAUGUCUAGAUAACAUCACUUCACAGCAUGGUAGGAAGCUGCUGGGUCAGAGGGCUCUGAAGGGCAGCAGCCUGCAGUUUAUGUAACUACAAGAUUUUUCUUAUCUAUGGCCGGCAGAUGUUGGGUGCAGUUUCCCAAGGUGUACAAAGCAGGAAGACAUAAAAUGGCAAAAAAAAUCUGCCUGUUGGAGAUAUAUUUACAACAACUGGAUGCGAAAACAUUUCAGUUUGGCACUGUGGGCUUUUGAGCUAAUGAGUCUCAGCCUGAUUUAAGAAGUAAGCAACAAAGGGCCAAUAUGCAAAGGCCAUCUCUGGCUCAUUUAUAUAACAAUUUGUUAAAUCCUAGAGAAUGGUACAACACAGAGUGUCUAAUGUAAACUUGGACUUUUGUUAAUAAUAAUCUAUCAAUAUUGGUUCAUUAAUUUCAAUAAAUGUAUCACACAAAUGCAAGAGGUUAUCAAAAGGGGAAACUCUGUGGGAGGGGGGCAGGUAGGGAAGAGGGAGUGGGGCUAUGUGGGAACUUUAUAUACCUUCUGCACAAUUUUUCUGUGAACCUAAAACUUCUAUAGAAAAUAAAGUCUAUAAAAAUGUUAAAAGUCAAUGAGGAGAAAAAGGAGAGCGAAAUAAAUGGAAACUUGGGGGAAAUUUUGUAAUUCACAAAAUAAAAUCAAAAGUCAAAACCAAAUAAUUCUGCACAUCCAAAAUAUAACUAACAAGUCCAUUGAAUUAUAAACUGGUCAGAAACACAUGCAACAGUUAUAACAGAUCAAAAAGAGAUUUGUGCAAGUUUAAUGCAAAGGAAAUGUGGAGUAAGGCAUUAAGUAGGCAGUUUAGAGAAAAUGAAUACAAUUUUUUGAGAGGAAAGAAGGCCACCCUAACUCAAUAAACAAGUAAAAUAUUAUCACUGUGAGUUUCUAUUUUUCAUCUGUAAAUUUGGAAAAUACAAAAAACCCUGAAACCUGUAACACCCACCUGACAAACUCACAUAUGCUGUUGGUGGACAUGUACACUGGUAACUAUUUCAGAAUAUUUUUGAUAUCGUAAUAAAAACAGCACAUAGCCUUUGACAAAAUAGUUCUAUUCAUAGAAAUAUUUCCUACAUUCUUACUUACAGAUAUGCUCAAAACAUAUGUACAAGGGUGUUUGUGGCAGCUUUCGUUUUAUUAGCCAAAGACUGGACACUACCCAACUACACAUUGGUAAGAUUUGUACCAUGUAACAAGUAGCUUUUGCCAGAAAUUUUAAAUCUUGUAUGCCACUUAUUGGUUCAGGAUUUUAAUGUAUAUGUCUCUAAAUAAACUAUAUUUAUGUCUGCUUUGCAUUGAUCCCCUUCCACUGCAAAUUUUCAUCACCUAUCGAGGUCCCACCAGCCUAUUGUGUCUUUGCUUAUCUUACUGUACAGAUAACUCACAUGGAUUCCAAUAUGGACCACAAUUUGGACAGCUUCUUCAUUGUAUAAGAUAUAAGUAAAUCAUGUCACCUCAAUACAAAUAUUGAGUUCUUGAGGGCAAAUGUUAGGUCUUCUUCAUUUGUUGUUGUUUUUUUUUUUCUCCCUGGAACCUAAUACAUGAUAAAGACUUGCUGAUUAGAAGUAAUUUUUCCUAACCAUAAGACAGUUCUUAUAGUACAUAUCCUCAUUACAUAACUAUGUAUUAAACCUAAGGAAAAUGCUCAAGAGUUUGUCCCUUUUGUUUGGUCCUUGCUUUUUCUGGCACACUUCAUAUUGCCAAGGCCCGUAAGGGUAAGAGAGAGAGUCAUACCUGAACUUGAUAUUGUCAUCUGGAGGAGAUUCAUAACAACAAAGUAUCUGGAGAAAGAUAGCCCUGUAGUUUCCAUUAUACCUGUGAUAAGAAAUUAGGCAGGUUCAGUGAGAACAGGAUUAAUAUGUCACAGAAAUCACAUAUCUCCACAUCUUCCUGCAGUAAUUAACUCUCAAAUAGAGUUACCAGAUGAAACGUAGAACCCCCAGUUAGAUUUGAAUUUCAGAUCGGCAGUGCAAGUUUUUUGGUAUAAAUAUUUCUUGUGCAUCAUAUAAUUUUUAUUUUCUAAAUCUGGUAACUCUACUUUUAAGAUGUUCAAUAUAAUGACCAAGUCCAGCCAGAGGCUUCUUUCUCAUUAAAGGAUUUCUU